ACACUCCUGCGGGAGGCAGCAGUAGGGAAUCUUCCACAAUGGGUGCAAACCUGAUGGAGCAAUGCCGCGUGAGUGAAGAAGGUCUUCGGAUCGUAAAGCUCUGUUGUUAGAGAAGAACACGUGCUAGGUAACUACUAGCGCCUUGACGGUAUCUAACCAGAAAGUCACGGCUAACUACGCGCCAGCAGCCGCGGUAAUACGUAGGUGACAAGCGUUGUCCGGAUUUAUUGGGCGUAAAGGGAGCGCAGGCGGUCUGUUUAGUCUAAUGUGAAAGCCCACGGCUUAACCGUGGAACGGCAUUGGAAACUGACAGACUUGAAUGUAGAAGAGGAAAAUGGAAUUCCAAGUGUAGCGGUGGAAUGCGUAGAUAUUUGGAGGAACACCAGUGGCGAAGGCGAUUUUCUGGUCUAACAUUGACGCUGAGGCUCGAAAGCGUGGGGAGCGAACAGGAUUAGAUACCCCAGUAGUCCCA
rnacentral:rRNA from 1 species